rnacentral:sRNA from 1 species
CCAUAGCCCUGAUGGGAGCGGUAUCCUCGCAACGCAGUGGAGAGAUAAAGCGGACAGCAGGAAUUACC